UUUUUUUCAACCUGGAUAACACUCGCCAGUCCAGCUUCCCUGCCCCAUCCACCGCUGCCCCCUGGACACUGAUCUCUUGGCUACAUAGCUGAUGCACUCUGGACUGUCCAUUAAUCACGGUCGCAGUUGUAAAUGAGAACUUGUUCUCAACUAGCCUACCUGGUUAAAUAAAGGUGAAAUAAAAUAAAUAAAAAAGGGAAGACGAGGAGGAGAGGUUUCUGUCUGUAAUGCCAAGGACCUGAAGUUGACUGUGUGGCGGAUGCUCUUACAUUGCAUUCUGUCAAACCGCCUUGCCAUUGUCACAACCUUGACUGGGGCAGAGCAUAAGGCCUGUUUCAGGGACUUGUUUCUGAAGACCAUUCUUCACAAAGCCAUUCGGAAGAACCUGCAACCCAGGAUGCCAUGGAUAAGGGGGUCCAGAUUCAGGUCACCCUUUAGCUGAAAGGGGCCUCCGAUUGUGAAGGCGGGAGAAGGCGGCGGACAGGGGAGAGGGAUCGGCUGCAGUGAGGGUCAGCAUCAAGUCUCGGACCACCUAUCUCAAAACCAGCCUCUACCCCCAAGCCACAAGACUGAUCCAACAGCUGAACCCUGGGCUGACUCCUGCACCCUACCACACACUUACCAUUUAUUCAUAUUCUGUACACACUUAAAUUACUUUAGUCUACCGGACCAAUGUAAUAGUUAUGUCACCUAACUGCACUAUGUAGAUAUACUUUCAUUAUAGUUCUAUGCUGCUACUGCACUGUAG
ensembl:lncRNA